UACGGAGGGUGCGAGCGUUGUCCGGAAUCACUGGGCGUAAAGGGCGCGUAGGCGGCGCGGGAAGUCCGUGGUGAAAGCCCGAGGCUCAACUUCGGGUCGGCCAUGGAUACUCCUGGGCUUGAGCACUGUAGAGGCAGGUGGAAUUCCUGGUGUAGCGGUGAAAUGCGCAGAUAUCAGGAGGAACACCGAUGGCGAAGGCAGGUCUCUGGGCAUUAACUGACGCUGAGGCACGAAAAGCGUGGGGGAGCAAACAGG
rnacentral:rRNA from 1 species